UACGAAGGGUGCAAGCGUUACUCGGAAUUACUGGGCGUAAAGCGUGCGUAGGCGGUUUGUUAAGUCUGAUGUGAAAGCCCUGGGCUCAACCUGGGAAUUGCAUUGGGUACUGGCAGACUAGAGUGUGGUAGGGGAGGACUGGAAUUCCUGGAUUCGUAGCGGUGGAAAUACGCAGAUAUCAGGAGGAACACCGAUGGCGAAGGCAGGUCUCUGGGCCACUACUGACGCUGAGAAGCGAAAGCAUGGGGAGCGAACAGG
rnacentral:rRNA from 1 species